GUCCAUACGUAAACGAUGAAUGCUAAGUGUUGGAGGUUUCCCCUUCAGUGCUGCAGCUAACGCAUUAAGCAUUCCGCUGGGGAGUACGGCCGCAAGGCUGAAACUCAAAGGAAUUGACGGGGGCCCGCACAAGCGGUGGAGCAUGUGGUUUAAUUCGAAGCUACGCGAAGAACCUUACCAGGUCUUGACAUACUAUGCAAAUCUAAGAGAUUAGACGUUCCCUUCGGGGACAUGGAUACAGGUGGUGCAUGGUUGUCGUCAGCUCGUGUCGUGAGAUGUUGGGUUAAGUCCCGCAACGAGCGCAACCCUUAUUAUCAGUUGCCAGCAUUAAGUUGGGCACUCUGGUGAGACUGCCGGUGACAAACCGGAGGAAGGUGGGGAUGACGUCAAAUCAUCAUGCCCCUUAUGACCUGGGCUACACACGUGCUACAAUGGAUGGUACAACGAGUUGCGAACUCGCGAGAGUAAGCUAAUCUCUUAAAGCCAUUCUCAGUUCGGAUUGUAGGCUGCAACUCGCCUACAUGAAGUCGGAAUCGCUAGUAAUCGCGGAUCAGCAUGCCGCGGUGAAUACGUUCCCGGGCCUUGUACACACCGCCCGUCACACCAUGAGAGUUUGUAACACCCAAAGUCGGUGGGGUAACCUUUAGGAACCAGCCGCCUAAGGUGGGACAGAUGAUUAGGGUGAAGUCGUAACAAGGUAACCA
rnacentral:rRNA from 1 species